rnacentral:other from 1 species
UACGCCCUGCGCUGCGCGUGCGGUUCCAGUCGACUGAGCCAACACCACGCGACUGGGAAUCUGACUUCCGCUGAGGCCGGCUUGCCCAGCAGCAUGAUGGGACGCUGCCCCUCACCGGAGAGGAUACCCACCUGUUGAGGUAGGGUUCAGCGUGGACGGGACCCACGGCAGAGGUGGGGCGUUU